CCGUCGGAGUAGCAGUUACACCGCGUCAAUCAAUCAUAACGGACACACAGAUUUCAAAGGCAGCAGGAUGAAAGAUAUGUGUCUGUGUUCAUCAAGACAUGAAGACUCUGGAGUGGGACAAGAGAAGGAUGAUGGGGUGUAUAUUCCAAUAGACACAUUAAGUCACAUUGUGAUUUCAGUGAAAGCAGAUAAAUACAGAGGGCUGGACAGUGGUUUCAUUCAUUAGGUAAAGAGGUGGGACAAGGAUGCUGACAGGACAGGAGGAGGUGACAUUCAGACAUUCAACGCAGCCAUUUUCAUCCAAAGCAACUUGAGGAAGAAAACAGAAGCAGUUCAUCCUAAAAGUGGGCUGCUGUAAUGUUUACAUCUAUGGAAAGAGGAGCUGAGAAGAAAAGAUAGGCUGGAAAGCAGUACUUCUUGUUGAGGACAAUCCUGAAUAAGAACACUUUCUC